GACGAACGCUGGCGGCGUGCCUAAUACAUGCAAGUAGAACGCUGAAGGAGGAGCUUGCUUCUCCGGAUGAGUUGCGAACGGGUGAGUAACGCGUAGGUAACCUGCCUGGUAGCGGGGGAUAACUCUUGGAAACGAUAGCUAAUACCGCAUAAGAGUAGAUGUCGCAUGACAUUUGCUUAAAAGAUGCAACUUCACCACUACCAGAUGGUCCUGCGUUGUAUUAGCUAGUUGGUGAGGUAACGGCGCACCAAGGCAACGAAACAUAGUCGACCUGCGAGGGGGGUUGGCCCACCUGGGACUGGGACACGGCCCAGGCUCCUUCGGGAGGCAGCCAGAGGGAAACCUCGGGCAUGGGCGGAAGUCUGGACGAGCAACGCCGCGUGAGUGAAGAAGGUUUUCGGGUCGUAAAGAUCUGUUGUAAGGGAAGAAAGAGUGUGGGAGUGGAAAGUUCACACUGUGACGGUAUCUUAUCAGAAAGCGACGGCUAACUACGUG
rnacentral:rRNA from 1 species